UUGCCAACUGAUGCAGAAAGGAAAAGCAGCGUCGUACAGUCUCCUGUGUCCAAACGUUCUGAAGCACAGGUUGAUCAGAAGGAUGUCAUUGUCCUGACACCCAAGAAUGUUCAGGCAUUGAGAACACUCUUCAACAUC